AGAGACUGCGGCGCCGUGGGCUGGAGGCCGGCGUCGGGGCAGGUCCCGCUCCGGGAUUCCGCACGAGGUGUUGACGGGGCCGCUUCUGCCCGUCUCUGCUCAGCGCCCACCGAGCCUGCGCCGCCCGGGCCGCUCGUUCCAGACGCUUCUGCGGCGCCAGGUUACCAGUGAGCCCCCUAGGAGACUGGACCCCAUGGCUUCCUGGAAGAGCCCCUGGUGGCUGCUGAUAUGGAUGGUUUUCACACACUCUGCCCUCCUGCAGGUAAUGGGGAAGGGAUGAGAAAUAGUAGCCAUCCCCGUGUUUACUUGGGAGCAUUAUUUGAGGUCACCUAAGAUGGGGUAUGAUUAAUGUUCAUUUUAUACCAAAGGGAAUCUAAUUGUGUCUCUUACCUCCAGCAAAUGGUAUUUCUAGCUGACAUAGCUGUAAGAAUGGUCCAAUCCCUUGGUCCUCUCUGAGUCUUGAUACCACUGUGCCUUGAUACCACUGUGGAUGCCAUAUAUCAGUGAUGACUUGGGGCUGUGAUGGAGCCUGUCUUUUUGGGCUAGAAAGGCUGCCUGCCUGUGCCUGGGAGAGACUUUGCUCUUAGAGGCCAGGACACAGUGAAUGGCCAGAGCCCAGGUUCUGACUUUAGCUCAGCCAUGAAGUAAGUAUUCUGUAAUUACCUCUAUCAGCACAUAUCACAGUGUUUUGCAGUCCUUUCAUUAGACUCCUGUGUUUCCCACCAGCCUGGUGGGGGGAACUCAGCUCCGUCACUGCAUCCUCAUUUGCCUACAGACUCAAACAAAGGCAUGAAGCUAGUGUUGCCUGAGCAACAACAGGCAAUGGUGGAGACAGUAGCAGAGUUGAUGGUACAUGUUCCGUCUAUUAAGAGCAGCCACUACCCAACUCCAGCUGAUCAUUGCCAAGGAAGAAUGCAAACCCAGGAUUGCCAGAUCUUCCUAUUUUUCAAGAUAGCUGAUUAUCCGGACUCCUAUGAGGCUCCCAAUUUUUAAAGCAUUGAAAGCCCAACAAAUACGUUUGUAGACUGGAUUCAGCCAAGCAGUUUGUACCCCCAGAUGUAAAGCACAUCUUAGUAUUGGAUCCUGGGGGCUGCUGCUAGCCCAGUCUGUACCUUGUGUGAAUUAGAACAUGCGAGUCGCUGUGGUAUCUUGUGGGAGUUAACACAGGGCAACCCCACCCUGCACGUGUAACUUCUCAUCACAUGGCUUGAUGGCCUCUGUAUGCUCAGGGUCUGGUGAACAGCUCGGCACUUAACAAGGGCUCUAACAUCUAUUAGAGAAGCAUGCCCACAAAAGAGAGUGAUAUGUUCUGGGAUGGAUUCAUCAGACUUCUCUGCUUCUCAUUGCACCCUCUUGAACUUAGUGUUUCUAAGAGCUUUUUCAGCUCCAG
rnacentral:lncRNA from 1 species